rnacentral:rRNA from 1 species
ACGGAGGAUGCGAGCGUUAUCCGGAUUCAUUGGGUUUAAAGGGUGCGUAGGCGGACUAAUAAGUCAGUGGUGAAAUCCUGCAGCUUAACUGCAGAACUGCCAUUGAUACUGUUAGUCUUGAGUUUGGUUAAGGUAGGCGGAAUGUGUAAUGUAGCGGUGAAAUGCUUAGAUAUUACACAGAACACCAAUUGCGUAGGCAGCUUACUGGACCGACACUGACGCUGAGGCACGAAAGCGUGGGGAUCGAACAGGAUUAGAUACCCUGGUAGUCCACGCCGUAAACGAUGAUUACUCGCUGUUGGCGAUACACAGUCAGCGGCUAAGCAAAAGCAAUAAGUAAUCCACCUGGGGAGUACGGCCGCAAGGUU